AGUGAACGCUGGCGGUAGGCCUAACACAUGCAAGUCGAACGGCAGCACAGUAAGAGCUUGCUCUUACGGGUGGCGGGUGGCGGACGGGUGAGGAAUACAUCGGAAUCUACUUUUUCGUGGGGGAUAACGUAGGGAAACUUACGCUAAUACCGCAUACGACCUACGGGUGAAAGCAGGGGAUCUUCGGACCUUGCGCGAUUGAAUGAGCCGAUGUCGGAUUAGCUAGUUGGCGGGGUAAAGGCCCACCAAGGCGACGAUCCGUAGCUGGUCUGAGAGGAUGAACAGCCCAAAUGGAAAUGAGAACAGGUCCAAACUCCCAAGGGGGGCCGCCGGGGGGAAUAUUGGACAAUGGGCGCAAGCCUGAUCCAGCCAUACCGCGUGGGUGAAGAAGGCCUUCGGGUUGUAAAGCCCUUUUGUUGGGAAAGAAAAGCAGCAGGUUAAUACCCCGCUGUUCUGACGGUACCCAAAGAAUAAGCACCGGCUAACUUCGUG
rnacentral:rRNA from 1 species